rnacentral:tRNA from 1 species
GGCUCGGUGGUGUAGUGGUCAUCACGUCUGCCUUACACGCAGAAGGUCCCCGGUUCGAACCCGGGUCGAGCCA